AAUAAAUCAAUUUUCCACCUUUUUACCUUUAAUUUUUGACUCUUCGUCUUAUUCAAAAAUUUUUUGUGAUUAAUACUUUUAUUUUUAUUAGAUGAUAAAUCAUAAAUAGUACUUUACGUGUGACUAAUUUUUUUCUAAUUUCCUAAAAAAAUUUUAAAUAAGACGGAUGGUCAAACGUUAGACACGGAAACCGAAGAAUUCAUUUUUU
rfam:Oryza brachyantha chromosome 2, whole genome shotgun sequence.